rnacentral:rRNA from 1 species
ACACCGGCAGCUCGAGUGGUAGCUGUUUUUAUUGGGCCUAAAGCGUUCGUAGCCGGUUUGAUAAGUCUUUGGUGAAAGCUUGUAGCUUAACUAUAGGAAUUGCUGGAGAUACUAUCAGACUUGAAGUCGGGAGAGGUUAGAGGUACUACCGGGGUAGGGGUGAAAUCCUAUAAUCCUGGGAGGACCACCUGUGGCGAAGGCGUCUAACUGGAACGAUCUUGACGGUGAGUAACGAAAGCCAGGGGCGCGAACCGGAUUAGAUACCCGGGUAGUCCUGGCUGUAAACGAUGUGGACUUGGUGUUGGAAUGGCCUCGAGUUGUUCCGGUGCCGAAGGGAAGCUGUUAAGUCCACCGCCUGGGAAGUACGGUCGCAAGAUUGAA